rnacentral:lncRNA from 1 species
CUGGCAGUUGCUUUCUCUUUCUGUCUCUGUUAGCUUUUCAUCUUCCUGAGAGUCCAGAAGCCUCCCCGUCAGAAGUGUGUUAACAGCAGUUCAGCCCAUUUCAGGGUGAAGGACAGUUUGUCAUCUAACUGUUUUAACCCUCUUAGGGAGAAAGUACAUAGACUGAAAAGAAUUUGACUGAACGAAGACUCGAUCACACGCUGUGUACCCGCCCUGUGUAGGUGAACUCAGUGCAAAUAUCUAAUUGGAAUCCUGAAUGACACCAAAACCCUUUGCUGGAGCUGGGAGCAGAGAGGGAAUUAUGAGGGGGAGGCAACAGGAAGCGUCACCUGGUCAGGAAGGACUCCCUGAGCCUCAGCUAACAGGAAGCGUCACCUGGUCAGGAAAGAUUCCCUGAGCCUCAGGUCAGGUGAGAGAAUGUCUCUUCCCUAUGGCCUAAGGAAUUCGACACAGGCUGAGCUGAGAGAAAAACAAGAAGCUGGUGUCUGUGAAGCAUGGAAGGGUUGCCCAUCGAACCAGCAAAUGGAGGGGACAUAGCAGAUAUCACGGGGUGGGGUGUGCAACCAAGGAGCAGAAAGCCAAGGAGACAAGGUCAUGGCAUCGAGUGCCAGAGUGCUCCAGAAGGGAAG